GUGAAUCAUCAAAUUUUUGAACGCAAAUUGCACUCCCUGGUAUUCCGGGAAGUAUGCCUGUUUGAGGGUCGUUAGAAUAAAAAAUCGCGGCGUCGCUCUUUUUUUUAAGGGUGAUCGCGUCGGAAUUAAGUCGUCUUUAAAUGUCACUUCAUGUCGAUGUGGCUUAAAAUUUCAUCAAUCCGGUACGAUUAAUGCGUAUUUACGAUCAAUCUUGAUUAAGAACGCUCGAUGACGUACCAUCUCAUGUAGUACGUU
rnacentral:misc_RNA from 1 species